AAAAGUCGUAACAAGGUUUCCGUAGGUGAACCUGCGGAAGGAUCAUUAAAAAAUUGGACUCCAUUGGUGAGUUCAUUAAUAAUCCUACCCUUUGUGAAUUUGUUUGCUUGAAUAAUUUUUUUUCCAAAAAAAAAUUAUUGAAUGUCUUUCCUUGUUUUGGUGGAGCUUGUAAAGUGAAACCAGGCAGGGGAAUGGCAAACAAUAAUUAUUUUUGAAAAAGACCUUUUUUAAAAUUAAACUUUUUGUAUUCAUUUGUCUAAAAUUAUUUUUAUAAUAUAAAAACAACUUUUGACAAUGGAUCUCUUGGUUCUCGCAACGAUGAAGAACGCAGCAAAAUGCGAUAAGUAGUGUGAAUUGCAGAAUACGUGAAUCAUCGAAUCUUCGAACGCAUAUUGCACUUUUUUAGUUUACUAAAAAAGUAUGUCUGUUUGAGUAUCAGUAAAAUAUUCUCAUAAAAAAUUUAUUUUUUAUGGUUAUGAGUGUUUUUACAACGAUAACAAGUUGUUUCACUUUAAAUUCUUUGUUAUCAAAAAAAUCAUUAAAAGCUAAUUUUAAAGAUUUUUUAAAAAUUGGAUAAAAUUUUCCCGUAAAAAGGAAUAACCUAAACAAUUUUAAAAAAUUAAAAUUGGUUUGAUUUUUCUUGAUUUAAAAAGGAAAAAAAAGUAAAAAUUAACUUGAUCUCAAAUCAGAUAAGAGUACCCGCUGAACUUAAGCAUAUCAAUAAGCGGAGGAAAAGAAACUAACUAGGAUUCCCUCAGUAACGGCGAGUGUAGCGGGAAGAGCUCAAAUUUGAAAUCUUCAAGGUUUUACCUUGACGAAUUGUAGUUUAAAGAAGUGUUUUCUGUUGGAGUUUUGGUAAAAGUUCUUUGGAAAAGGACAUCAUAGAGGGUGAGAAUCCCGUAUUUGACCAUUAUCUCCAGCUUUGUGAUACACUUUCAAAGAGUCGGAUUGUUUGGGAAUGCAGUCCAAAAUGGGUGGUAAAUUUCAUCUAAAGCUAAAUACUGGCGAGAGACCGAUAGCGAACAAGUACCGUGAGGGAAAGAUGAAAAGAACUUUGAAAAGAGAGUUAAACAGUACGUGAAAUUGUCAAAAGGGAAGCGUUUGACACCAGUGUUGUUUUCUCGAAAAUCAAUUAAAAAAGGCCGGAUUUUGUGUUGUAUUGACUUUAUCAGCUUUCUGCACUUUUUUCUUGUCUUUUUUAAUGCACUUUUCGUUUAACAAGUCAACAUCAAUUUCUUUUGUUGUAAAAGGGUCAUUGGAAGGUGGCUUUCUUUUCGGAGAAAGUGUUUAUAGCCUUUGGCCUCUGCAAUCGGAGAGAUUGAGGUCUGCAGCGUAGAUCCUUCGGGGUUAGAUACACUUGUGCUAAGUUAUAGCCUUUCAUAGACAACUUGUUGACUAUGAUCAGUCAUGUAGCUUACUCGCUUAUGCUAUUUUACCUACGCUUAGGAUGUUGAG
rnacentral:misc_RNA from 1 species